GUGUAUAUAUAUAUAUAUAUCCACAACAAGUUUUUUUUAUAUUUUACAUGCAGAAUAAAAUACAUGUGUGCAAUUUCCACUAUAGUUUUGUUUGCAACAUGAUGGAAAUGAUGCUAAAUAGUGAAAUUAUAACCUUUGCAACCCUAGAUCUUGUAGAAGAUAAUACCCACACCAUGGUGGAGGCAACACACAACAAUAUGAUUCAAGAAGACAAGAUCUUGGUUGCCAACAUUCCAAUUUUGAAAUGCAAUCUAAAAAUCAUACUCAAAAGUCUACAAGUGCAAUUUAUAUACAUUUUUUUUGUGUUUGUUUAUGACUAAGUAUUUGCUAAAAUUAAAUUAAAAUCUAUUUUUUACAAUACAAAACCACUUUUGUGAUCUUACUCUCUUUAGUAUCUGCUAAUUUCUAAUACUUGUUUGUGGCAUUAUUUUAUCAUAAGACAUUUGACAUUCCAACAUUUAACUAGCAACUGUGCACUUUUGCAAUGUAAAUGAUCAUGUUUGGCAUUCUGUUUCUACCAAAAGCAGGGAUAAUACUUACACAAAUUUUAUAAAAUAUGCAGAGAACUGUUUUCCACAUACAACAUUAGUGCCUACAUUUCUAUGAAUUGUAUGUUAGUAAAUUCGCAAAUUAAUUUCUAUUCAAAUAAUCAAGACAAAUCUUUGUAUUGAAAUGCAUGUGUUUCAUUUUUGGUAUAUGGUCUCAACAAUGUUUCUUUAUUAGCCAUCAUCCAAAACAUAUCCUACAUAAAAGAAUUUUUAAACUCAUUGUUAAAAUUAUUAUAACUUUCUUUGCACGAAUUCCUGUUUUAUUUAAAAUCAACUAAAAUCAUUGCAUUGAGUUGGUAAUUUUGAAUCUAUCAAACUGAUCAAAAUGCUCUUGCUCAAAAUGCAUAGUGCCGGAAGUAAAAAAAUAUUGAAUAUGAUGAUAAUAUUAUUAAAAAUAUACAAGAAAAUAGAAGGAGCAAUGUGGAUAUGAAGAGGACUGCAUGAAGCAAACAUAUAAUCAACAAGCACUGUUCAUCAUGUUAAGUUAUCUUUAAUGUUAAGAGUAGAGUAAUUAGCUUAUAUAUAUAUAUAUAUAUAUAUACAUAUAUAUAGGACAAUAUUUGUUUUAUUUUUGCACUUUCAAAUAUAUUGAUAGAAUAGUAUAAAUUAUUUUUUUUUUCUCUCUCUACCUAUAUAUAUAUAUAUAUAUAUAUAUGAAGGUUUACAUUCACCUGCACUAUUGUGACAUCAAUCCUGUAUAUAAUAAUCCAGCAUGACCCAACAAAGUCCUUUCCAAAGCUGCAGGCAUAUUAGGGCAUCAAUUGGAAGUAAAGUCCUAGAACAAUGUACUCAUAGCUUUUUUCCAUGGUGGGUUGCAAAUGUGUCAUUACAAACAACCUCAUGUUCACAUGCUAAAUAUUUUUUAAAAAAUAAAAAAUUACAAUAAAUCACACAAUAAAUAUUUUCACUUUACAAUUCUCACUUGCAUAGCAUUAAUAUAUAUAUAUAUAUAUAGUCCUUCAAUAGUUUGAGGAAUUUGAAAAACCCAAUUGCCUUUGUACUUGAAUGAACAUUAUUUGGUAGAGAAGG
rnacentral:lncRNA from 1 species